AGUGUAACGUGUUGAAAAAGGGAGUUCUGUGUCCCAAUAAAGAUGGAAAGUGAAGGUGAUCAUGUUUUCUGGAAUGGAAAAGGGCUCUGCUUCCUUCUUCUCCGAGCUCAGAAAAAGAAAUUUCUAUAGUUUGAUCUUUUGGUCUACCUACAUGAGAUCAAGGAAAAGAAAGAAGAAAAAAAUCAAGUUUUUUUUUAAAAGUGUACCUUUUGAGUCAACCUAAUUUAUUUAUUUAUUUGAGCUGGGACCAGCAGAGGGAAAGGGAGAGAAAGAAGCUUAAACAAACUCCCCUUUGUGCGUGGAGCCCGACAUGGGGCUCGGUCUCACGACCCUGAGAUCAUGACCUGAGCUGAAACCAACAGUUGGAUGCUUAACUGACUGAGCCACCCAGGAGCCCCAGUUUAACUUU